rnacentral:rRNA from 1 species
UACGUAGGGCGCAAGCGUUGUCCGGAUUUACUGGGCGUAAAGAGCGCGCAGGCGGUCGUUCAAGUCGAGGGUGAAAGCCCCCGGCUCAACUGGGGAGGGUCAUUCGAUACUGAUCGACUCGAAGGCAGGAGAGGGAAGUGGAAUUCCCGGUGUAGUGGUGAAAUGCGUAGAUAUCGGGAGGAACACCAGUGGCGAAGGCGACUUCCUGGCCUGUUCUUGACGCUGAGGCGCGAAAGCUAGGGGAGCAAACGGG